rnacentral:rRNA from 1 species
CCUACGGGAGUCAGCAGUGAGGAAUAUUGGUCAAUGGGCGCGAGCCUGAACCAGCCAAGUAGCGUGAAGGAUGACUGCCCUACGGGUUGUAAACUUCUUUUAUAAAGGAAUAAAGUGAGGCACGUGUGCCUUUUUGUAUGUACUUUAUGAAUAAGGAUCGGCUAACUCCGUGCCAGCAGCCGCGGUAAUACGGAGGAUCCGAGCGUUAUCCGGAUUUAUUGGGUUUAAAGGUAGCGUAGAUGGGUUGUUAAGUCAGUUGAGAAAGUUUGCGCCUCAACCGGAAAAUUGAAAUUGAUACUGGCAGUAUUGAGAAGAUUUGGGGUAGGCGGAAUUAGUGAUGUAGCGGGGAAAACCUUAGA